rnacentral:rRNA from 1 species
GACGAACGCUGGCGGCGUGCCUAAUACAUGCAAGUCGAGCGGACCGGCUUGGGGCUUGCCUUGAUUCGGUCAGCGGCGGACGGGUGAGUAACACGUGGGCAACCUGCCCGCAAGACCGGGAUAACUCCGGGAAACCGGAGCUAAUACCGGAUAACACCGAAGACCGCAUGGUCUUCGGUUGAAAGGCGGCCUUUGGGCUGUCACUUGCGGAUGGGCCCGCGGCGCAUUAGCUAGUUGGUGAGGUAACGGCUCACCAAGGCGACGAUGCGUAGCCGGCCUGAGAGGGUGACCGGCCACACUGGGACUGAGACACGGCCCAGACUCCUACGGGAGGCAGCAGUAGGGAAUCUUCCGCAAUGGGCGAAAGCCUGACGGAGCGACGCCGCGUGAGCGAAGAAGGCCUUCGGGUCGUAAAGCUCUGUUGUGAGGGACGAAGGAGCGUCGUUCGAAGAGGGCGGCGCGGUGACGGUACCUCACGAGAAAGCCCCGGCUAACUACGUG